GUCUGGGUAGCUGAGUUGGUUAGAGCAUGGCGCUGAUAAUGCCAAGGUUGCUGAUUUGAUCCCCAUAUGGGACA